rnacentral:sRNA from 1 species
AAUUAAAAAAAAUUACAUAAUUUAAAUAGAAGAUGAAGCGUAGAUGAACAGCCUAAUUGCAAAUUAUAAUAUUUAAAAC